AUCAACCAGAUUUGGAACCGUGGCUGUACCCAACAUCCUCCUUUUCCAAGGGGCAAAACCUAUGGCUAGAUUUAAUCAUACAGACAGAACACUGGAAACACUGAAAGACUUCAUUUUUAAUCAAACAGGAAUAGAAGCUAAAAGUGAUGUGACUGUGACCGAGGAAGACUGGGAAGGCCCUCUGCCGAGUGUCCUGA